rnacentral:rRNA from 1 species
GGGUGAGUAAUGCUUGGGAAUUUGCCUAGUAGUGGGGGACAACACGGGGAAACUCGUGCUAAUACCGCAUACGCCCUACGGGGAAAGCGGGGGAUCUUCGGACCUCGCGCUAUUAGAUGAGCCCAAGUCCGAUUAGCUUAUUGGUGAGGUAAAGGCUCACCAAGGCUACGAUCGGUAGCUGGUCUGAGAGGACGAUCAGCCACACUGGGACUGAGACACGGCCCAGACUCCUACGGGAGGCAGCAGUGGGGAAUAUUGGACAAUGGGCGCAAGUGAUCCAGCAAUGCCGCGUGUGUGAAGAAGGCCUGCGGGUUGUAAAGCACUUUCAGUAGAGAAGAAAAGCCUAGGGUUAAUACCCCUGAGUCUUGACGUAACCUACAGAAGAAGCACCGGCUAACUUCGUGCCAGCAGCCGCGGUAAUACGGAGGGUGCGAGCGUUAAUCGGAAUUACUGGGCGUAAAGCGCGCGUAGGGGUUUUGUAAGUCGGAUGUGAAAUCCCCGGGCUUAACCUGGGAACUGCAUUCGAUACUGCAUAACUAGAGUAUGGUAGAGGGAAGUGGAAUUUCCGGUGUAGCGGUGAAAUGCGUAGAUAUCGGAAGGAACACCAGUGGCGAAGGGACUUCCUGGGCCAAUACUGACGCUGAGGUGCGAAAGGUGGGGAGCAAACAGGAUUAGAUACCCUGGUAGUCCACGCCGUAAACGAUGAGAACUAGAUGUUGGGAGGGUUGCCUCUCGGUGUCGCAGCUAACGCGUUAAGUUCUCCGCCUGGGGAGUACGCCGGCAACGUAAAACUCAAGGAAUUGACGGGGACCCGCACAAGCGUGGAGCAUGUGGUUUAAUUCGAUGCAACGCGAAGAACCUUACCUGCCCUUGACAUCCUCAGAACUUGUUAGAGAUAACUUGGUGCCUUCGGGAAUUGAGUGA